UUGGUGCCCUAGAAUUCCAAAACUAGGCCACAAACUUUAAAUGUCUGUAA
ensembl:ncRNA F11A6.4 ncRNA